AAAAUUAGUCCAAGCUACGUUUCAAACGUAUGCAUCUGUAAGUCAGGUGGGUAAUACCCGGCUGUACUUAGCAUAUCACUAGAGCGGAGUGAUUGCUUCUACAACUGUGAAAAAUUUGGGCUGAGAGGACUUCAGACUGGUCAUGGGGUAAGAACCCUAUUUCUUGGGGGGUUUGGAUCCGGAUGGCCCACCCUCCCCUGGGUUUUCGGGAGGCCCCCCCCUUCCUUAAUUAAAACCCUUAGAAAAUUUCCGGAUUUUAUAAAAGGUUUAAAAAAAAAAAAAAAACUUUUUUAAAAAAUGGGAACCCCCUUGGGUUCCCGCCCCCCGUGGGAAGAAACGUAGCCAAAAGGGCCGAAAACUAAGGGGGGGAAUUGCCAAAUUUCGCGGGGAACCCCUCGGGGCUUUUUAAAACACAGGUGUUGCACACCAAAGGGUGUUUCUCAUAGAGAGAGAGCCCCGCGUCUCUCUGUGUAUCUCUCCCCAAAACACCCCCACGAGGAAAGGUGGGGGGUAUA
rnacentral:misc_RNA from 1 species